UAUAAGGGCAAAAAUGUAUUUUCGCAUUCACUUCCUUUUUCCAGUGGAUAGCAUCGUCUGACCUCCAGCAUUCAGAUUCCAUUUGAUCGCAGGCAGCCUUGUGAAUCUUGACGUCGUCGGCAGCGGCGGGCGGCGCCUCGUCGGCGGUGGCGGGCGGUGGCUCGUCCUGUGCGACGGCUGCGCCUCAACCUUGUGAAUCCCGACCUCGUCGGCACGGCGAGCGGCGCCUCAUCAGCAGCGGCGGGCAGCGCCUCGUCGGCCUCCUUCCUAUGCGACGGCUGCUCCUCAACCUUGUGAAUCCCGACCUCGUCGGCAGCGGCGAGCGGCGCCUCGUCGGCCUCCUUCCUGUGCGACGGUUGCGCCUCUAUCCUGCAGGCGCAUCGACGCAAGGGCCGACGGAAUACGGAUCCAACCCAAGGAGUUUCCCUACCCACACUCAAGGAGUUGUUGCAGCAGGUAUCGUCAUGCAUGGUGGCUAUCGUUUGCUGGAAAAACACCGGCUCGGCAUUCUGCACGGCGCCCAGAUCCGAGGAGGAAGAUUGAGCAGCUUUGCUGCAGGUCGAGCGCAGAUCAGAAGAUUGGUGUUGGUGCCGAUUCAUGCUAGGGAGGAUCUGAUCCAUAAGGAGAUCGAAGUGGGCUGAAAUCUGGAAAAAGGAUAAAAGGUUUAGCUACCUGCAAAGAGUUUGGACAAUCAGAACAAGGUUGCUGCAUACUGUGGUAGUACUUUUCAUACGGUUCUUUUUGGGAGUGGAAUUCUUCUGAGCUGUCUUCAGGAAUUCGGAUUUCAAACACAACCUGAUUCAGUGGUGGAAAAGAACUUAAUCAUACUGUAUGCAUAAUGUGUAAUAGAGAAAAAAAAGAGUAAUCAAAGCGGAGAUGGUCAGUACAUCUUACUUUUCCAUGUCCUGGUCCAUACUUGAUAUCAUAUUUGUUUCUUGAGGAGACAUUUUUUUCAUUCCAAUAUGACAUCAGAGGUGGUAACCGAUUACUGUAACUUAGCUUAUAGCUUCCUUCCUCAACAUGGACAUGUUCCCAGAACCAA